CCUACGGGCGGCUGCAGUGGGGAAUAUUGGACAAUGGGGGGAACCCUGAUCCAGCCAUGCCGCGUGUGUGAAGAAGGCCCUCGGGUUGUAAAGCACUUUCAGUGAGGAAGAACGCCUGGUGGUUAAUACCCAUCAGGAAAGACAUCACUCACAGAAGAAGCACCGGCUAACUCCGUGCCAGCAGCCGCGGUAAUACGGAGGGUGCGAGCGUUAAUCGGAAUUACUGGGCGUAAAGCGCGCGUAGGUGGCUUGAUAAGCCGGGUGUGAAAGCCCCGGGCUCAACCUGGGAACGGCAUCCGGAACUGUCAAGCUAGAGUGCAGGAGAGGAAGGUAGAAUUCCCGGUGUAGCGGUGAAAUGCGUAGAGAUCGGGAGGAAUACCAGUGGCGAAGGCGGCCUUCUGGACUGACACUGACACUGAGGUGCGAAAGCGUGGGUAGCAAACAGGAUUAGAUACCCCGGUAGUC
rnacentral:rRNA from 1 species